rnacentral:rRNA from 1 species
CCUCAGUAAAACCGAACGCCAGUGAUCAGAGUUUGAUUAUGGCUCAGAUUGAACGCUGGCGGCAGGCCUAACACAUGCAAGUCGAACGGUAACAGGAAGCAGCUUGCUGCUUUGCUGACGAGUGGCGGACGGGUGAGUAAUGUCUGGGAAACUGCCUGAUGGAGGGGGAUAACUACUGGAAACGGUAGCUAAUACCGCAUAACGUCGCAAGACCAAAGAGGGGGACCUUCGGGCCUCUUGCCAUCAGAUGUGCCCAGAUGGGAUUAGCUUGUUGGUGGGGUAACGGCUCACCAAGGCGACGAUCCCUAGCUGGUCUGAGAGGAUGACCAGCCACACUGGAACUGAGACACGGUCCAGACUCCUACGGGAGGCAGCAGUGGGGAAUAUUGCACAAUGGGCGCAAGCCUGAUGCAGCCAUGCCGCGUGUAUGAAGAAGGCCUUCGGGUUGUAAAGUACUUUCAGCGGGGAGGAAGGUGUUGUGGUUAAUAACCACAGCAAUUGACGUUACCCGCAGAAGAAGCACCGGCUAACUCCGUGCCAGCAGCCGCGGUAAUACGGAGGGUGCAAGCGUUAAUCGGAAUUACUGGGCGUAAAGCGCACGCAGGCGGUCUGUUAAGUCAGAUGUGAAAUCCCCGGGCUCAACCUGGGAACUGCAUCUGAUACUGGCAGGCUUGAGUCUCGUAGAGGGGGGUAGAAUUCCAGGUGUAGCGGUGAAAUGCGUAGAGAUCUGGAGGAAUACCGGUGGCGAAGGCGGCCCCCUGGACGAAGACUGACGCUCAGGUGCGAAAGCGUGGGGAGCAAACAGGAUUAGAUACCCUGGUAGUCCACGCCGUAAACGAUGUCGACUUGGAGGUUGUGCCCUUGAGGCGUGGCUUCCGGAGCUAACGCGUUAAGUCGACCGCCUGGGGAGUACGGCCGCAAGGUUAAAACUCAAAUGAAUUGACGGGGGCCCGCACAAGCGGUGGAGCAUGUGGUUUAAUUCGAUGCAACGCGAAGAACCUUACCUGGUCUUGACAUCCACGGAAGUUUUCAGAGAUGAGAAUGUGCCUUCGGGAACCGUGAGACAGGUGCUGCAUGGCUGUCGUCAGCUCGUGUUGUGAAAUGUUGGGUUAAGUCCCGCAACGAGCGCAACCCUUAUCCUUUGUUGCCAGCGGUCCGGCCGGGAACUCAAAGGAGACUGCCAGUGAUAAACUGGAGGAAGGUGGGGAUGACGUCAAGUCAUCAUGGCCCUUACGACCAGGGCUACACACGUGCUACAAUGGCAUAUACAAAGAGAAGCGACCUCGCGAGAGCAAGCGGACCUCAUAAAGUAUGUCGUAGUCCGGAUUGGAGUCUGCAACUCGACUCCAUGAAGUCGGAAUCGCUAGUAAUCGUGGAUCAGAAUGCCACGGUGAAUACGUUCCCGGGCCUUGUACACACCGCCCGUCACACCAUGGGAGUGGGUUGCAAAAGAAGUAGGUAGCUUAACCUUCGGGAGGGCGCUUACCACUUUGUGAUUCAUGACUGGGGUGAAGUCAUAACAAGGUAAUAUGGUCAUACUGCUCC